rnacentral:rRNA from 1 species
GGCCUACCAUGGUGGUAACGGGUAACGGGGUGUUAGGGCACGACACCGGAGAGGGAGCCUGAGAAACGGCUACCACAUCCAAGGAUGGCAGCAGGCGCGCAAAUUACCCAAUCCCGACACGGGGAGGUAGUGACAAUAAAUAACAAUACGGGGUUCUUUAGGAUCUCGUAAUUGGAAUGAGUACAAUUUAAAUCUCUUAACGAGGAACAAUUGGAGGGCAAGUCUGGUGCCAGCAGCCGCGGUAAUUCCAGCUCCAAUAGCGUAUAUUAAAGUUGUUGCAGUUAAAAAGCUCGUAGUUGAAUUUCGGGAUCAAUUUAUUGGUCGUGCUAUUGUACGUACUGGUAUUAUUGAUUCCUACCUUCUGACGAACCAUGAUGUCAUUAAUUUGGUGUCUUGGGGAAUCAGGACUGUUACUUUGAAAAAAUUAGAGUGUUUAAAGCAGGCUCACGCUUGAAUACAUUAGCAUGGAAUAACGAAAUAGGACGUUUGAUUCUAUUUUGUUGGUUUCUAGGAUCGACGUAAUGAUUAAUAGGGAUAGUUGGGGGCAUUAGUAUUCAAUUGUCAGAGGUGAAAUUCUUGGAUUUAUUGAAGACUAACUACUGCGAAAGCAUUUGCCAAGGAUGUUUUCAUUAAUCAAGAACGAAAGUUAGGGGAUCGAAGACGAUCAGAUACCGUCGUAGUCUUAACCAUAAACUAUGCCGACUAGGGAUCGGAUGAUGUUAAUUUUUUAAUGACUCAUUCGGCGCCUUACG